UCUAGGACCUGAAACGCUAGGACCUGGGACUGAAGAAAAGUAGAUCAGCCCAGGUGAGACGAGGACUUCGGGACGCCCCGUUCCACUAUGAACUUUGAAGCAGCCAGGUCCGUUUUGAAGUUCAUGGUGACAGGGCAGAAAGAGGACGAUGCCACGUGGAGAGCCGAAGUACACAGGCGGGAUUCCUUCGCUGGGAUCCGGUCUGGAUCUGCUUUUCAGGGCGCCAUGGCUGCUGACCAAUCUUUUCACCAGGCCUGUGUGUCUGGAGAGAGCCCCAGGUCAUGCAAGCCCAGGGUGAGGUCUGCUUCUUCAAUGAAGCCCAUUCCACCUGCCCAGGCUCCCAGCAAGCUUGUCCUCUGAACCUCUCCAGGGGCUUCUGGACUUACCUCUCAUCUAGCCUUUAACAUAGACGAGGU